rnacentral:rRNA from 1 species
UUGUCCUACGGGGGGCAGCAGUGGGGGAUAUUGCACAAUGGGGGAAACCCUGAUGCAGCGACACCGCGUGGGUGAAGAAGCGCUUCGGCGUGUAAAGCCCUAUCAGUGGGGAAGAAAAAGGACGGUACCCAAAGAAGAAGCACCGGCUAAAUACGUGCCAGCAGCCGCGGUAAUACGUAUGGUGCAAGCGUUAUCCGGAUUUACUGGGUGUAAAGGGAGCGUAGGCGGCUGUGUAAGCCAGAAGUGAAAGCCCGAGGCUCAACCACGGGACUGCUUUUGGAACUACAUGGCUUGAUUGCAGGAGG